CCAUCUCAACUCUCAUGGCUUGCCAUGAUGAGCUUGGACUUUGGGGGUCUUGCUGGCCUGUGGUCGGCUCCUCUCGAAUGAAUUAGCCUGCCGAUGUUUGGUGGGAUCACAGGUGUGAUAACUAUCUACGCUUGUGCUUUUCCACCAGGUAACCCUCAGCAAUGGAGGUUCACCGGAGCUUAUAAAUGUCUCUCCCCAGCGAGGACAGAUUUUGACC
rnacentral:misc_RNA from 1 species